ACAUGGGCUCAGUGGUAGAGCGCUUGCCUAGUAUGUAUGAGGCACUGGAUUCAAUUCUCAGCACCAUAUA
rnacentral:tRNA from 1 species